rnacentral:rRNA from 1 species
UACGUAGGGUGCGAGCGUUGUCCGGAAUUAUUGGGCGUAAGAGCUCGUAGGCGGUGUGUCACGUCGGCCGUGAAAACCUGCAGCUUAACUGUGGGCGUGCGGUCGAUACGGGCAUCACUGGAGUUCGGCAGGGGAGACUGGAAUUCCUGGUGUAGCGGUGAAAUGCGCAGAUAUCAGGAGGAACACCGGUGGCGAAGGCGGGUCUCUGGGCCGAUACUGACGCUGAGGAGCGAAAGCGUGGGGAGCAAACAGG